rnacentral:rRNA from 1 species
UAUUUAUUAGAUAAAAAACCAAUGCCCUUCGGGGCUCCUUGGUGAAUCAUAAUAACUUAACGAAUCGCAUGGCCUUGCGCCGGCGAUGGUUCAUUCAAAUUUCUGCCCUAUCAACUUUCGAUGGUAGGAUAGUGGCCUACCACGGUAUCAACGGGUAACGGGGAAUUAGGGUUCGACUCCGGAGAGGGAGCCUGAGAAACGGCUACCACAUCCAAGGAAGGCAGCAGGCGCGCAAAUUACCCAAUCCCGACACGGGGAGGUAGUGACAAUAAAUACUGAUACAGGGCUCUUUUGGGUCUUGUAAUUGGAAUGAGUACAAUUUAAAUCCCUUAACGAGGAACAAUUGGAGGGCAAGUCUGGUGCCAGCAGCCGCGGUAAUUCCAGCUCCAAUAGCGUAUAUUAAAGUUGUUGCAGUUAAAAAGCUCGUAGUUGAACCUUGGGCCUGGCUGGCCGGUCCGCCUCACCGCGUGUACUGGUCCGGCCGGGCCUUUCCUUCUGGGGAACCUCAUGCCCUUCACUGGGCGUGUUGGGGAACCAGGACUUUUACUUUGAAAAAAUUAGAGUGUUCAAAGCAGG